GACGAACCGUGCGAACGUUGUUCGGAAUCACUGGGCUUAAAGGGCGCGUAGGCGGUCGGGCAAGUCCGGGGUGAAAUCCUGCAGCUUAACUGUAGAAGUGCCUUGGAUACUGCUCGGCUCGAGGGAGGUAGGGGUCUGUGGAACUUCUGGUGGAGCGGUGAAAUGCGUUGAUAUCAGAAGGAACGCCGGUGGCGAAAGCGACAGACUGGACCUUUUCUAACGCUGAGGCGCGAAAGCUAGGGGAGCAAACGGG
rnacentral:rRNA from 2 species